rnacentral:lncRNA from 1 species
GACAACUCGCGGGGAUUGUUUUCCACACCGUGGAAGCUUUGUUCUUUUCGUUUUUUGCAAUAAAUCUUGUUGCUGCUCGCUUUUUGGGUCCACAUUGCUUUUAUGAGCUGUACCACUCACCGUGAAGAUCUGCAGCUUCACUUCAGAGCCUAGCGAGACCACAAGCUCACUGAGAGGAACAAACAACUCCAGACGCGCUGUCUUAAGAGCUAUAACACUCACCGCGAAGGUGUGCAGUUUCACUCCUGAGCUAGUGAGACUACGAAGCCACUGGAACGAAGAAACUCCAACCACGUUUGAACAUCAGAAGGGGCAGACUCCAGACGCUUCAUCUUAAGAGCUGUAACACUCACUGUGAAGGUCUGCAGCUUCACUCCUGAGCCAGCGAGACCACGAACCGAUCUGAACAUCAGAAGGGACAGACUCCAGAUGCCCCACCUUAAGAGCUGUAAUACUCACUGCAAGGGUCUGCAGCUUCAUUCUUGAAGUCAGACCAAGAACCCAGCAAUUCCCAACACACAGGGACCAGCUUCUUUCCUAACUCACUUAGGCUCUUCGUGCUGCUCUGGCAACUAACACCCUUGGCUGCAGGGGCUUGGACACUACCCUUAGUCACUGACAAUUGUGUGAAGGCUGCUGUCGUUAACUUCACUUGAUCACCUUAGGCUCCUGUGAAGUGGUGAGCAAUUCAAACAAAUUCCUGUCGUCAAAUCAUGCUGGAGUGCAAUGGCGUGAUUAUGGCUCACUGCAGCCUUGACCUCCUGGACCCAGGUGAUCCUCCCACUUUAGCCUUUCAAGUAGCUGGGACUACAGGUGUGUGCCACAAUACCCGGCUAAUUUUUUAAAAAUUUUAAUAAAGACAGGGUCUUGCUAUGUUGUUCAUGCUGGUCUAGAACCCUGGGCCUCAAGAAGUCCUCCUGCCUCAGCCUCCCAAAAUGCUGGGGCCAAGAAGAAAGAACAGAUCUGGAGGUGGAGAUUUUGGAGGAUCAUAACAAAAGAGGAAAUAUGUAAAGCCAUGAGACUGGACUUGAUCACUACGAGAGCAGGUAUAGAUAGAAAGGAGUUCUGAGGACUGAGCCCUAGAGCCUCCCUAAUAUUAAGAGGUGCCAGCAAAGCAGAGUGAGGCACAUGUGAGCUUGGGUUACGCAGCAAAUGCUAACUGAUACAAGGGCCAAUUUCCUUCAUGUGCAAAGAACUCCUCCUCCUCUUUCUUAUUCAAAGAACCCCUAUGAAUCAAUAAGUAAAAUAAUAAAAGGAGAGUGAGAAGUGCCAGGGAAUAUGAGAAAAGUGAGGAGAAUGAGGAGUCUUGGAAGCCAAAUGAAGAAAGUGUUUCAAGGAACAGCCAAAGAUCAGCGCAUAAGAGAUAGUUAUUAUACCUACGAUGAGGGUGGGAAAAGAAUGCCAGAUUUGAACACAGCAGAAGUCACUGUCAACCUUCACAAGAGCAAUUUUAGUGGAGUGAUGAGGGCAGCAAAGACAUGAUUGGAAUAAAAAGGUGUAUAGUAAAAAUUCUCCUUCUCCCUCCUAUCAAUCAUCUGCUCAUUUCCCAGAACCCCUACCCCCACCCAGGGAACCACUUUUAUUAAUUUCUUAUUUAUACAUUGAGAGUUUUUAUGCAAAUAUAAGUAUACAUGGAAAAUAUAUAUUCUCACUCUGUGGUUUUCAAAUUUAAAAGUUAGCAUUCUAUGUAUACUUCUCUAUACCUUGCUAUUUUUCCUAAGCUAUCUUAAGGCUCUUUCCUAUCUGUUCUUAAAGAGCUUCCUCAUUCUUGGUUGGCUUCUGUACAGUGGUUCAUUGUGGACAUGCCCUGACCAGUUCCCUGUUGAUAGACGUGGGCUGUUUCCAAUGUUUUAUUGAUUAUACAAACAAUUCUUCAGUGAAUGACCUUUUCACAAUACAUGUGUGGGUAUAUUUAUAGGGCAAUUCUUCCAAAGUGGAUUUCUGGGUCCAAGGGUAGAUGAUAAUUUGGUAGAUGUUGCAAAUUUCCACAGUUUGCAUUUCCAUCAGCAACAUGUGUGAAUACAGUUAAGUCUCUAUUGAUGGAAAGUGAGAUUAUUUCAAAUAUUUUGCCAUUGCAAAAUAAGCAGCAAAGGAUACACCUGAAUAUUCAAAAAUUUCUUAUGCAUGAGAAUAUAUUUGCAGAAUAGAGAUCCUGAUUGAUUUGUAGGGGUUCUUUCUAUUAUCAUGUGAAGGAAAUUAGCCCUUAUAUCAGUUAGCUUUUACUGUAUGAGACAAGCUCCAAAGUGGACGGCUAAACAGCUGUUUAUUCAGCUGCUGGUUCUUUGGGCCUGCAAUAUGGGUUGGGAUUAGCUGGGUGGUUCUGCUCUUUGGGGCCAGGGUAGGCUGAUCUUGGCUGGCCUUGUUGAGGAACAGCUAGGGUGGGAGUGCUCAGCUGGGUGGUUUUUUUCUUUCUGCUCCAUGUGGUCAAUCAGCCUCCAUCUAGCUGGCCUAGGCUUUUUCACAAGGCAACUCAUGGUUCAAGAGCAGUCAGGCCAAAUGCCCUUGCACAAGUGCUUUUCAAGCCUCUGCAUCACAUUUGUACUAUCCCAUUGGCUGAGGUGAGUCAAGUCCAGUGUCCAUGUGGUAAGACACUACCCAAGGGCAUGGAUACAGGGAAGCAUGAACAAAUCGGGGUCAUUACUGCGAUCAAUCUAUGGUGGCCCACAAAGGCCUAAUCUUAAUUCUCUGUCAUAAGUAUUUUGGGUUAUCACUCUAAUUUGUUUAUUGAUAAAGCAAGGGACUGUGCUAGAAGUGGCAAUGAUCCUUGAAGCAGCUGAUCACAACAGUUUCAGUUCUGGAAUAUGAGCUUCCUUAGAGUGAAGGUCUUGCCUUCUGUAGAGAGACCACUCGUGAUGGUGACAGCCAUGAGGACCAGGUGCAGGACUAUGCAGGACGUGGAAUGGCCUCACUUUUGUGGCUUUAAAAAUAAAUUUUUAUUUUCCAAAGCAGUCCUCUUUCCUUCACUCAAACGGAGCUUAAUGACCAGGUAUCCCUCUGGCAUUCCACACAACCCAGCAGGACAGGUUUGAUCUCUGCUGAUUUCAGCUGCUAAUGUGUUUCAGUGGAAACAGACUGCAUCCAAGCCAGGACCUUCAGAAUCACGCUGGGACAGUCAGGUGACUGAAGAGAAAUUUUGACUCAUUGAAAAUAGUCUUCUUGACCCUUGUUCCCAUCUAAUUUAUAUUUUUCAUUUCAUAAAUGGAGUUGACUGAGUCAGCCCAGGAGCUUGCUAUUUUGGGGAGAAAAGUCUAUGAUAAAAUCCAUGAAAUUAGUCCUCUGAGAGUGUGGGCAGAGAGGUGACAGUGACUGUGCAACCCCUGAGGCAUGAGUGUUUCUGUGAUGUGAUGCUGUCACCCACAUGCAGGCCUGAGGAACCAAGGAGAGCCCUUGACAGCGGGCAGGAAGAGGAGGAGAAAGAAGUGACUUUUAUUGAGCACCUACUGCAUUCCAAGCACUGCACAAGGCACUGUGUGUACAGAGACACAUAAGAUGCUGUCUCAGUCCUGAAUAGACAUCAGCUAGCAUGAAGAAAUCCCACAAAAACACAGUAUCAAGAAGGAAGAGGAGAAGGUGGAGCCAGAUAGAGAAGGAGGAAAAAUAAACAAACGGAAUUACAGCAAAACAAGGGUAGUGAGAAGGUACGUCAAAGACCAACUACCUGGUGGGGUAUUGGAAGAUUUUAACCACUGUCCAAAGAGGCCCUGACUAUUUCAGUCUCUGGUUCGCCUGCAGAUAGCAUCAACUCAUGGAGAGUUUGAGUUUCAAAUCCACUCCUAGUUGCAAGGGCAGGAUCCACAGCCUGUUUAUCCGAGACUGCUCUGCACUUCCUGCUCAGAUUUGAGAGUUAGUUAUGUGGCCUGGAAACUUCUUUCUCUAAGCUAAACUCCUUUGGCAUGUGAUUUGCAUCCAGACAAGAGCUGAGCAGCUUAAAGUCCCAGGAACUCCUUCAGGGGCGCUUGGAUCUUAUUAAAUGAGAUCAGAGCCCUGGUGUGUCCUGCUCAGUGCCAGCAUUCCCACCCUGAAAAGAUGCCUUGCACACAGAAGGCGAGAAACAACCAUGCGUUGAGCGAGUGUGUCAUUGUGUCUGGAACAGGCUAACGCCUUUCCCAAGCACCCAGGGUACCCCAGGGAGUCUGAAUUUUCUCUGGAAAUGACCCCUUCAUUCUUUCCCAGCUUGAUCUUCAGUAGUCCCAGGGUGGCCGUGAGAGGGUAUUUGCUCCUCUCCUUCACUGGAAUUUCUCCUCCCGCUCACCAGAAAGAAGAAUGAGGAAGUGUACAUGACAGAUUCUCUGGGUCUGGCUUAUUUGUUCAAGGAACACAUUUGGGCCAGCACCCAAGGAUAAGGGACAGCCCUGCCAGGCUCCCCUGGGGACUGUGGAGGGCAGGGUGUUUGGUUUCUGGGCUCAUCAAAAGCAAGGUGGCAGUUGAGAUUUGGAAGAUCCCAGCUCAUCCAGUGGGCAGCAGCCAGAUGGCAGGAGUUUCCCCACUGAGCAGGUGGGCUGUGGUCUGGGUCUCUGGAAGUCACACAGACCUGGCCUGGGGGGCACUGGCUCUGUUCUGCCCCUGCCCUGUGCUCAUGCGGAGGCUGGGCUUCCGACUGGCUUUGCUGGAGCACCCAGGAACCUGAUGGGUAGAGCCUGGCCUGGACCAGCCUUGUUCUGUGUGAAGCCCUGAUGCCUGGCCUUUCUUCUGUCAGGGAUCCUACUCCCAUAUUUCAUGCUGGAGUGUGUGCCCUCUCCAAGCCCAUUGCCCCCAGAACCACUGCCCCGUCAUCCAUCAAGCACAAUGUUGCGUCACCAGGAGUGGGGCUCCUGAUGGAUUCAUUACUUCAUAUGUCGGGUUUACAAACCUGUACCUCCCUAUCUAUCUCUCUCUCUCCCCCCCUCCCCCCCUUUCUGUAACACACACACACACACACACACACACACACACACACACACACACACAGAGAUCUCAGAACCCACACCACCCAUUCUGUGUGGCUGGCUCUAUCACAGUGAGCUAGAAGCCAGUUUUGGAGAUGAAUUGACUGGAGCAUCUCUACAAAGUUAUGUUUUCACAAUUUUUUUUUAAGAGACAGUGUCUUUCUGUGGCCCAGGCUGGAGUACAGUGGUGCCAUCACAGCUCACUGCAGCCUCAACCUCCUUGGCUCAAGCGAUCCUCCCACCUCAGUCUUCUGAGUAGCUGGGACUAACAGGUACAUGCCACCAUGCACAUCUAACAGGCUUGACUAGAUUUCUUCAUUGACUUUAUUAUCUUCUUGAUAAUCAAUUUGAAAAACUGACAUUGAGCAGGGCCUAGCUUAUGGUUGCCUUGGUAGGUUGGCGGGAAUACCCCGGAUUCUUUAGCAAGCCUGGCUGUUUUCCUUCUCAUACACAAAGUGGUCAAGCCUGCUCUUGGCAACCGCGAUUGACUGCAUUCACUCCCUUCCCUGAUUAUCUCAUCCAGAUAGGUCCAAGUGCCAUUCUGUUGUUACUUGCUUGCUAUUAGUAAUUGUGACUAUACUUCGAUAGUGAAGUAAUUUUGUUGUAAUUCUCUUAGUUACGUGUUUGUUUAUUCAUUUUUAUUAUGAUUUUUUGAGACAAAGUUUCGCUCUUGCCACCCAGGCUGGAAUGCAGUGGCACGAUCUUGGCUCACUGAAACUGCUGCAUCCUGGGUUCAAGCAAUUCUGCCUCAGCCUCCUGAGUAGCUGGGAUUACAGGUGCCCGCCACCACGCCCAGCUAAUUUUUUAUGCUUUUAGUACAGACGGGGUUUCCCCAUGUUGGCCAGGCUGGUCUUGAACUCCUAACCUCAGGUGAUUCGCCUGCCUCGGCCUCCCAAAGUUCUGGGAUUAUAGGCGUGAGCCACUGCACCUGGCUAAUUUUUUGUAUUUUUAGUAGAGAUGGGGUUUCACCAUGUUGGCCGGGCUGGUCUUGAACUCCUAACCUCAGGUGAUCACCCACCUCGCCCUCCCAAAGUGCUGGGAUUACAGGUGUGAGCCACCGUGCCUGGCUUAUAGUUAUGCAUUAAUAAAUGUCAGAGCUGCUGUGAUAAGUCACAAAGGCAGCACUAGAGCACAGUCACUGUACAGUCUUUGGAGUCAAACUGACCCAAGUUCAAACUUGGCUACACCACUGAACAGCCAUGUAAUUCUGAGCCAGUCACAUGACCUCUCUGAGCCUCAGUUUACUCAACUGAAGACAGAAUAACUACUUGUCUGGGUCAAUAUGGGAAUUAAAUGAAAUAAAGGAUAUAAAUCUGUUAGCACAGUGUCUAGGAUAUGUGGCCCACCAAAGAUAGACUGUUACUGGAGAUCUAUUUUUGGAACAAUCCAUAUUAGAGAUUGAUCUAGAAAAACUUGUAUUUGUUUCCUUACAUAGGAAGCAAGCUGUUCAUUUUAAUAAAUACAAAUUUAUAUUUCUAAGUGAGUGUAAGAGGAGUUUGUAUGAUUCACAGCUUGCGUGUCUACGACUGGGUUCAGAAGGAAAGCCAGGGCCUGUGCGUUUCUGAGGUUGGAGCAGACCCUGCCCUCCCGUGGGCAUCCUGUGCUCUCUGGUGGUGCUAUGAGCUGGACGGGUCAUUGCUUGGUAAGACCUUUCUCAUCUCUUCAUGGCUAAUUAGGAUGAAAACACUCAGCACGGAUCUGAAGAAUGUGCCCUAGGACUGGGACAGAGAAAAACAGGGUGAAGAAAGCAGGUGAAGAUCAGAGUUUGUUUUGAAUGUAACCAGCUUUGUGCAUCGCUGUUUACACUUGUGGAACAAAGGCCCUGGGGCAUGCUGUAGAAUUUCAGCCUCCCUAGUGGACGUUGGCCCUGCUGUCCCUCUUGGAGGAGCUGAGAUGCUGCCUGGCCCCCUUGCCCCCCAGACAUAGGCACUCACACACAGAAUGACUUCACGGCCCAGCCUCCUUGCUGCCUUUAACUCAGUGAAUCUGCUGUCGCACUGUUUGUUGACCUGGAGGUACAAACGCCUGAUUAUAGUACAAGGAGUUGUCUCUUCCCUGGGUAUUAAAAACAUUAUUAGGGGUCAAAAUCUCAAACCAAGAGAGCAGGCUCUGAUGGUUGGAUUGCAGCACUCAGCCUGUGGGCAGAGGAAGGGUUGGAGAUUCAGUGUCACAAUAAAUGCCUGGUCCUACCCAGAAGUUGACCCUGAAAAUGUUGAGUAUGGACCCUGAAUUGUCUUAGCAAAGCUGUGAUGAAAUGACAAGCUUAGCUUCAGGACUAAGUGGACUUGUUAGAAACCAGUUUCCUCUAUGAAUGGACUUGAUGGAAGGCCAAGCAUGUGAGGGAAGCCCCCAGCCUACCACGCCAUCUCCUGCUCGAAGCUUUUGGGAGUUUUCAGGAAAGUGCAGAGACUUGAGUUUCUGUAAAGCUGCCGGAUAGCUGUGAUCGUGACCUCAAAGUCCAUCCUCCUUCACGGUCUUCCUUCCGCUGGAAUUUGGUGUGAUUAAAAGGAUUUGGGCUUUAAGUCUGAGACACGUGGGUUUAAAUCCUCCUUCCUGCCUGCCUGCAUUCAGUCACUGGUCUCACAAAUAGGUGUAGGACAGAUACUCUGCGUGGGGUCUGGGGUUAUAGACAAGGCAGACGAGGGUCCUGACGCUGAGGGGGUUUACGUUUUAGCUGGAAUGACAUGCAAUGCAGUGGUAAGUUACAACAGGGAUUGUGACCAGGUAAGUGCAUGUCUAUGGAAAAACAAUGUGGCUGCGGGUCUGAGGGGGCUUUCGUGAGUGACUUAACUGAGUGCUGAAAUGUGGAAAGAGGGUAAGUGAGGGGGGUGGGAUGUAGGGAAGAGCAGCCAGAGAGAGAACAGCAUGUGCAAAGGCCCUGAGGCAAGAAGGAAUCUGGCCCAAGCAUGUGGCACUUCAGUUUACUACCUGCUUCCCUACAUUGCUCAAGAAGAGUGAGUUAGGCUGGGCACAGUGGCUCAGGCCUGCAAUCCCAGCAUUUUGGGAUGCCAGGGCUGGGGGAUGGCUUGAGGCCAGGGGUUUGAGACCAACCUGGGCAACAUAGCGGGACCCCCAUCUCUACAAAACAUUUUUAAAAAGUAUCCAAAGGCAGUGAUACACAUGUGUACUCCUAGCUACUCAGGAGGCUGGAGGAUUACUUGAGCACAGGAGGUCAAGGAUGCAGAGCUAUGAUUGCACCACUGCACACUGCACUUCAACCUGGGUGACAGUGUGAGCCCCUGUCAAAGAAAAAGUGCAUUGUAAAGAACAAUGAGUGUGAAGUGCCAUAUUGGCUGGCUCAUAAUAGGUCUUCUGUCCAAGGACUUUGAGUGUCCACCUCCUCCUUAUUAAAGCCCUCUCAAACUUUGCUUUUCUUGAAAAGAGUGGAAUUUAGAUGAUUUUGCAGCAAUUGGGAUCCAGGAAGCCAGAAGCCCCACAUAGCCCAGGACUGGCCUGUGAAUGAUAAAGAGGUGGAAUUGUGUUAUUGAGCAAACAAGUAGGUGGCAGAUGCUGCUGCCUCAACCAGCUCUUGGUGGGAUCGGCUACAAGGGUGUGCAUUUUCCACUGUACCUACCUUUGUCCAAAAAUUACUGGUUCCUUCCUCACACUGCAUGAACAAGCCACAUGACUAUAGGAUUUCUCAGAGAUAGGUCUCAACUGAGCCUUAAUUAUUCAUAUGGAUGGAUUAAUUAUGAUGAAUCAAGGGGUGCAGCAUGUGGGUUCACCAGUAAAACAAGAGCCCGUGUGGACAGAGUUUGGCAGAGACAGGACCUGCUGCUCCGCCCAAUUUAAUUUAAUGCAUGCCUGGGCAGAGGGGUUUCUUCAGUCCUGACUUACCCUUGACUUCCCGGCUACACUCUGUGGGUUUCAGGAGUGACUUCUCUAACACCUUCUGGACCAGGAGGAGAAGCAUUGUUAGGGCCUGUCCCCGGGGUCCUGGGCUCCAAGGCCGGGCUGUGUUGAUCUUGAAUUGAUGAUGGCUCUGCUGAGGUUGCUUUUGUGUUUGCUUCUUGAUCGCUUGUUGUGAAAUGUGUUCAGUAGUAGUCAUGAAGCAGAUCUUUGGCAUAAAUUUUCAUCCCAGCAAGCAGUGCAUGAAAUUGAAAAUCAGCAGAGCCAAGGAGAGGGAGCCCAGGCUCCCGACAAAUGUGGACUCCUUGGAGAUGUCCCACCUGGAUGGCGGGAACAGCCUCUCUGGGGCCUCUGAGUGCUCUGCUGCCCCACAUCACCUCCUCACCCUGGCAGAGCCCGGCUCUCUCCAGGGACUCCACUUUCCUUUCACUGCUUCCAGGGGAGGCUGCUAAUUUUCCGUGUCCUCCAAGAUUUGCACAUUACCACUUGCAGAUCAAAAGCUCUCUCCCGCACAAGCACCAGUAUCUCUGAGGCUCCAGCUCCGCCAACCUCCAUUCCAUCAUCCAGGGCCUCAUAGCUCCUCACAGUGCCCCCUCACUUGCAGGCAUGCUGACGGUGCAGCCUUAGCACCUCGUGCUCUAGCCCUCCAAACACACUGCCUUCUGCUGGCCUCAGACACGCACUCCCACAGCCACAAGCUGGACUCUGAUGAUAUGAAACUGCAACCUAUAAAAGAAUAAAAUCAAACCUGCCACUCUUUGGCUGCAACCUCUUGCUCUUUCUAGCUCAGUGUCCUACUGAUUCUAACUGCAAUCAAAAGCAUAUGUGUAUGUGUUUGUGUGCAUGUGUGUGUAUAUACAUAUGUGUAUA